rnacentral:rRNA from 1 species
UCGAUGAAGAGUGCAGCCAACUGUGUGAAUUAAUGUGAAUCGCAGACUGCUUUGAACAUCGACAUCUUGAACGCAUAUUGCGGCUAUAGGCUUGCUAUGCCACGUCUGUCUGAGCGUCGGCUUAUAAACUAUCACUGCGCGUUAAUAAGCAGUGCUUGGGAGAGUUGUCUCGGCGGUUAUCGCAGCUGUUGCAGUGAUUGUGUGUGUCGCGUGUGCAAUGSCAGCUGCAGCAGCCGGG